UACGUAGGGCGCAAGCGUUGUCCGGAAUUAUUGGGCGUAAAGAGCUCGUAGGCGGUUUGUCGCGUCUGCUGUGAAAGCCCGGGGCUCAACCCCGGGUCUGCAGUGGGUACGGGCAGACUAGAGUGCAGUAGGGGAGACUGGAAUUCCUGGUGUAGCGGUGAAAUGCGCAGAUAUCAGGAGGAACACCGAUGGCGAAGGCAGGUCUCUGGGCUGUUACUGACGCUGGAGGAAGCGGAAAGCAUGGGGAGCGAACAGGAUUAGAUACCCGUAGU
rnacentral:rRNA from 1 species